ACGGGAGGCAGCAGUGAGGAAUAUUGGUCAAUGGGCGGAAGCCUGAACCAGCCAUGCCGCGUGAAGGAAUAAGGCCCUAUGGGUCGUAAACUUCUUUUGACGGGGAGCAAUAAGUGCUACGUGUAGCACGAUGAGAGUACUCGUCGAAUAAGCAUCGGCUAACUCCGUGCCAGCAGCCGCGGUAAUACGGAGGAUGCGAGCGUUAUCCGGAUUUAUUGGGUUUAAAGGGUGCGUAGGCCGUGUGUCAAGUCAGAGGUGAAAGCCCGGAGCUUAACUCUGGAACUGCCUUUGAUACUGGCAUGCUGGAAUACUGUUGCCGUGGGAGGAAUGAGUAGUGUAGCGGUGAAAUGCAUAGAUAUUACUCAGAACACCGAUUGCGAAGGCAUCUCACGAAACAGCGAUUGACGCUGAGGCACGAAAGCGUGGGGAUCAAACAGGAUUAGAUACCCUGGUA
rnacentral:rRNA from 2 species